GACAGAGGGUGCAAACGUUGUUCGGAUUUACUGGGCGUAAAGCGCACGUAGGCGGCUUGGCAAGUCGGAUGUGAAAGCCCUCGGCUCAACCAAGGAAGUGCAUCCGAAACUGCUGAGCUUGAGUACUUAAGAGGAUCGCGGAAUUCCCGGUGUAGAGGUGAAAUUCGUAGAUAUCGGGAGGAACACCAGUGGCGAAGGCGGCGAUCUGGGAAGAUACUGACGCUGAGGUGCGAAAGCGUGGGGAGCAAACAGG
rnacentral:rRNA from 1 species